UUUAAUCUUAUCCGCUCCCUCUUGUCUACUCCUCUUGUUUAAUAUGCUUGAUUAUCUAAUUGUUAUGCAAACUUUCUUGGCCUACCCUUAACCCGAUCCCUCGGCGAAAAGAGCCUAUUACUAAUUACCGGCUUGCUAUCCCGAGCCUCCCCUAGCAAUUAGCAAUGCAUUACCGAACAGAAGCUAAAACAAUUGAUCGUCCUACCUCCCUAUCCUUAGGUUAUAUUUCAUUAAUCAAGGAAUUUCUCACCAGUUCAUGACAGGGCUAUUUAUAGCUGAGGAGCGUCACAGAAAACAGGCUCAGGCCCAGCGGACAACCGCCCGACGUCACACUUAUGUCGCUCGGCAGUUUGCCCAUUAUCGCGCCACCGCCCGGCUGCAGGGGUUCACCGCCCGGCGAUUUGCCCCUAAUCACAAAUUCGCCCAGCGUCCACGCCAGGUGCCUCCUCC
rnacentral:lncRNA from 1 species